rnacentral:rRNA from 1 species
CAAACUAAAGAUGGCGACCGGCGCACGGGUGAGUAACACGUAUCCAACCUGCCGAUAACUCGGGGAUAGCCUUUCGAAAGAAAGAUUAAUAUCCGAUAGUAUAUUAAAACCGCAUGGUUUUACUAUUAAAGAAUUUCGGUUAUCGAUGGGGAUGCGUUCCAUUAGUUUGUUGGCGGGUAACGGCCCACCAAGACUACGAUGGAUAGGGGUUCUGAGAGGAAGGUCCCCCACAUUGGAACUGAGACACGGUCCAA